CAACAGGUCUUUUUAAAGACCACAAUUUUCCGCAUUUCCAUCCUU
rfam:Picea glauca, whole genome shotgun sequence.